AAAAGUGUCUCCAUACACCAUGAUCACGAAGGUGGUUUUCCAGGGCGAGGCUUAUCCGUUGCACUCCGGAUGUGCUGACCCCCGCGAUUUCCCCAAAUGUGGGAAACUAGACUGCAUAAUUGUGGUAGUGGGGGACUGCGUUCGCGCUCUCCCCUU
rnacentral:snRNA from 1 species